rnacentral:rRNA from 1 species
GGGAGCCGGGAGCUGUCUUGUGUAGUACUUGGAUGGGAGACCGCCUGGGAGUACCAGGUGCUGUAAGCCUUUUC